UCCCGGUCUUAUAACCUAGCUUCGGCAGCGCCCUCCCCCAAGGGCAGACCGCUGCUUUACUCUACGUUACACUGCUCCAGAUGGUCCUCCCCCGCUUAUGAACAAGACACCCACCUGGACUGAGAUCUCUGUUUCCCAGAUGAGUCUGCAAAACUUGACUUUAAACGCCACCUCCAAUUUUUCCCAAGAGUUUUAAAUUUAUUUUUAUUUUUAUUUUUUCCCCCUGAAAUGAUCCUGGUUUGCUCUCCUCCCUAAUGUGGAAAAUUGAAUCGUUGUUCUCAAUUCUUCACUCCCUUCCUAGUCCUUUAUCUUGUAAUUUUGCAGUAUCCUCUAGUGAUGCCAGCCUUGGCAAUGUGACUUGCCUUCACAAAUAGAAUGUAGAUGUAAGUGACAUUGUGGCGGUUUUGAACCUAAGCUUUAAGAGGCAGGAGAUGUUUCUGCUAGCUAGUCGUGUGCUCCUCUGGGAGCCUAUGCUUGAGAAAAACAUACCUUAUGAAGCUACUGCCCCUUCACCCUGGACCCCAUAAUGAGGACAUAAGCGAGUCCGAAAUUGACCAGAAACCCAAAUUUACCCUGACCCUGAAAAUUCCAGCCUCCAUCAGCCAAACCUCAGCCAACGUUCUGGCCUAUUCACCUCUGCUGCCACAGAUGGCAUGUCUGACUUCAAACACCUGCAGACCUUGGCCUGGAAGCUUCUCUGGCCUUGGGAGCAGAUUUGGCUUAUGAGCAGUGAAGCCAGUGGUGCCAAGGCUCAGCGCCCCCAGAGACAUCAUCCAAUCAUUGAUGGAGUGGAAUUGGUGGAAAGCUCCCCAGUUUCCUGCCCUUCAGAAUGGGCCAACUGUGAGACAUGUCCUUUACUGUCUCCCAGAAUUCUCUAGCAAGAUUAGUCUCAGUUGCCUAAAGCAGUAACUUGCUCAAUAAAAAAGGAAAAUACAUCAAAAUAUUUGCUGAUGUAUUUUCUUUUUUUAUUCAAUUUUCCUACUCCCUCCCUGGUGCUUCCUGGAAUCACCUCCCAAUAAACCACUUGCACUC